GCUAAUCAAACUGAGAGAUAGCUCGUACUCCCCGAAAUGUUUUUAGGAACAGCCUCGAGGUCGAGUGUUAUAGAGGUAGAGCUACUGAUUGGACUAGGGGGCUUCACCGCCUACCAAAUCCUGACAAACUCCGAAUGCUAUAACAUAUACUCGGGAGUGAGGCGCUGGGUGCUAAGGUCCAGUGCCGAGAGGGAAAUAACCCAGACCAUCAGCUAAGGUCCCCAAAUAUAUGCUAAGUUGAUCUAACGAAGUCUGAUUGCAUUGACAGCUAGGAUGUUGGCUUGGAAGCAGCCAUUCAUUUAAAGAGUGCGUAACAGCUCACUAGUCGAGCGAUCGGGCAUGGAUAAUACACGGGCAUCAAGCAUAUUACCGAAGCUAUGGAUCACGCUUAAAACGUGAUGGUAGGGGAGCAUUCCAGUUGCGUUGAAGGUGAAUCGUAAGGUUUGCUGGAGCGUCUGGAAAAGCAAAUGUAGGCAUAAGUAACGAUAAUGCGGGCGAGAAACCCGCACACCGAAAGACCAAGGUUUCCUGAUCAACGCUAAUCGGAUCAGGGUUAGUCGGGUCCUAAGAUGUAGCCGAACGGCGAAGUCGAUGGAAAAAAGGUUAAUAUUCCUUUACUGGCAAGUAUUGCGAUGGGAUGACGGAGUAGUGAAAGUCCUGCGUACUGACGGAAUAGUACGUUAAAGGGUGUAGGUAUAUGUUUGGUUGGAAAACCCGCCAGAUGUGCCGAACCUGAUAGUACCACAAGUCCUCGGAUGAGUGGAUAAUGGACCUAAUCAGACUUCCAAGAAAAUUCUCUAAGCUUCAGAUAUUUGCCACCCGUACCUUAAACCAACACAGGUGGUCGAGGAGAGUAUCCAAAGGUGCUCGAGUGAAUCAUGGCUAAGGAAUUAGGCAAAUUGACCCUGUAACUUCGGAAUAAAGGGUGCCCCAGCAAUGGGGCCGCAGAGAAAUGGUCCAGGCGACUGUUUAGCAAAAACACAUGGCUUUGCAAAAUCGAAAGAUGAAGUAUAAGGCCUGACACCUGCCCGGUGCCGGAAGGUUAAGAGGAGAGGUUAGUCGCAAGGCGAAGCUUUGAAUUGAAGCCCCGGUAAACGGCGGCCGUAACUAUAACGGUCCUAAGGUAGCGAAAUUCCUUGUCGGGUAAGUUCCGACCUGCACGAAUGGUGUAACGAUCUGGACACUGUCUCAGCCAUGAGCUCGGUGAAAUUGUAGUCCCGGUGAAGAUGCCGGGUACCCGCAACGGGACGGAAAGACCCCGUGAACCUUUACUAUAGCUUAACAUUGACUUUGGAUAAACAAUGUGUAGGAUAGGUGGGAGACUGUGAAGCGGAGGCGCUAGCUUUCGUGGAGUCA
rnacentral:rRNA from 1 species